rnacentral:sRNA from 1 species
UAUUUCAACACUUUGAC